GCCCAGGUGGCGGAAUUGGUAGACGCGCACGUUUGAGGGGCGUGUGGGGAGACCCGUGCUGGUUCGAUUCCAGUCCUGGGCA
rnacentral:tRNA from 1 species